CGCUAAGAAGCUAAAUAUUGGAUACAGCAUUGGCCUUUUAAGCCAAAGACUGGUGAUUCCCGACCACCCUUAGUGA
rnacentral:tRNA from 1 species